AACCAGGCAUCGUGGUCUGGUGGU
rnacentral:siRNA from 1 species